GACCAGUCAAACGAGCUCCAGCUCCUUCUCUCCACUUUGUUUUGUUCCAUCUCUCAAGGCUUGGGGCUGUUUUUCCCCAGCUGCUGAUCAUUCCUAACAUCGUCUUCCAGCCCACAUUCUCCUCCUUUGCCAUCCCAUUGUGAGGUCACGAUACAUUUGUGACAAAGUUUCCAUGGCAACAGACUGAUGACAUAAACAUAAGCUGAGGAUUUCUCUGCAAAGCGGGAGGAGCAGGAGAUGGGCUGCAAGGGAGCUGCUCCUCAAACAGCUCUCUUCAGUAAUAGCUGUGGGAAUAGAGAACAUUACUGGCAAAACUUCUCCACAGGUCCAGAUUCUCCCAAGAGGGGCAGGUGCCCAACACCCCCUGAAGCCCACCCUCUCUGUUCCUCUCUGGAGCACCGCGGCUGGAAGAUGCAGCCUGGCUGUCAGCAAUGGGUUCCCGAGCUCAGGAGGGCAUUGCUGGAGCAAGAAACAUCUCCUGCACGUCCAGACCAGUCUGCUCAGGCCAUGAGCCGCAGCUCACUGCAGUAAAUUAAAGCUUUUAAUGCUUCCUUUUUCAAAAAAAUGGAAAAA